UUUGCUGAAGUCAAUAUUUUCAAAACCAAAGUCCCAAAUUCUCUCUCGUGCGUGCCUGGCCAUCCUAAACCUUACUGGUAGCCGGAGAAUGGCGUAAAACGGCGGCGAUCUUCUUCUUCAUCUUAUUAUCUCUCUCAUCGUUUCAGGUAAGCUUGUGAUUAUGAGUUUCUUCUCUUUCUUAGCUUGUAAUUAUAGGUUUUGAUUUCUUUAAUUCGUAUUGUAACCAUUAAUGUCAAUUUUUGUCCCGCCGGCAAUAUUUCUUGUUCCUAGAAGUUGAAGCCCUUCUGUUCUUGUUCCAUUGGUGACUUUGCUCACUCAAAUUAAUUUUGUUCUGCGGAAUUUACAAAGUUCAAAUGGAUUCAUUUGGAUUACUAUUGAAUUUAGCUUUAAUUCCAACAUCCAUUCUAAUGUUUUACAAUCAUGUAUUUAGAUUUACUUUUAUUUUAUGUUUAAAGCUUCUACAAUGAAUAGCGGAGCUUGGGUUUUAGUUUCAUUUUCUAAUUAACUUGUUUUAGUUUAUCUUAUAUGCUCGCCAAGUGCUUGUUAUAUUGUCUGAUAAGUUAUAUAACAUUGCUGAUUCUAUAUUAGUAAUGUCAUGUUCCAUUUACGGAAAUUAUAACACAAAAGUUUUUACAAUGGCUUGCAUCUACAAACUGAAUUGACUUGUAGAGUAAGAGCUUGGAUUAGUGUUAUGUUCUUGAAUAAAUGAAAGUUCAUAUUGUGUAAGAGCAUGUAGAUGUAAAGCAUCACUACCAUUUCUACAAAAUGCUUUCAUUCUGUUCAGAUGCUCCUCUUGAACUUUGAAAGGUGCCUCAUUCAAGUCCUAGCUAUAACUAAUAGCUCUGAUUGCUUAAGUUCCUGUGCUAGCUGAAACAGAUUUAUUUAAUUAAUUAAUUGUGUAUGUACUAAUUAUAUUGAAAGUAUAUGAAGAAAUUGUUUAACAUGAAUGACUUCUAAAUGACUUAAAAGCCUAAAGGAUAUGUGAAAUAAUGCUCAUUUCACUUGAACGAGCCUAUUAAUACUUGUAUGUCUAUGAUUGUCAAUCUUGCUUAAGUGUUUCAGUUAAGUGGUUUACCAAACAGGGAAAAAAAUUUAAUGGAAAACUUUAGAGUUCUAACAGAAAUAUAGUUGACUGCAGAUAUAGUUAUUUUACGGUACAUAAAUCAUAUUGUCCUAUUCUCAAUGUCCUACGACCUAUUUUAUUUUAUAUGGUCAUUCAUUUUUGCGAUGGUUUUUUGUGCUUAUGAGUAUGGAAAUAGUGGGAUUUGGUGUGGCAAACAAAAAUAUACAUAUAAUCAAGUUUGUUAAUCAUGUAUAUUGGUUUUGGGUAUGAACGUUUUCCUAUUCUAGUUCUAGGCAAAGUUUCUUCAUUUUGGUCUUCAGAUUUCCAGUAGGUUAAGUUAAGCAACUAUCAUAACUAGCUAGCUAGUUAUUGCCUGCCUUGUCGCCAUUACUGACGCCAUUACAUUGCAUGGCAUAAGGAAUAGUAACUAGGUGAUUAUUGGUGAUUCCUUGAGUUUAUUAUUGGCCAAACAAACAUAUUCGCCUUUACCCACAACUUAGUUUGAUUAGUUAUUAGAUAAUAAAGAGCCUUAAUCUAUGCAUUGCUUUAUUAUUUUUAUUUGGUUUUUCUUUCAACAAUAUUGUUGAUUUCUUAUAAAAAAUAUUCAUUGGUUUUUAAACACCUAAUCAUUGGCUAUAAUGAAGCUAAUUAAAACGGAGGCUUUGGAUCAAUUUCUGUUAACAACAUACAAAUGAGCAUAACCACCCCCCCCCCCCCCCCCCCCCCAACCACCACCAAAAAAAAAAAAACCAAAUAGGAAGACUUUGCAAGAUUCACAACCAGGUUACAUUUAAUUUAUUAAUUGUGUGUACAUACUAGUUAUUUGUUGAUAGAAUAGGAAGAAGUAUUUUAAUAUGAAUGACUUAAAACUUAUUGCUCAGUAAACAUAAUGUGCAUCAGUGCUAGAAAAUGUAUUUGUUGUUUGUAAUUUUUUAUGGUUUUGCUUAAGAAAUGAAAUGUGAAAAAAUGCUACAUUUUAUUAGGAAUAAAUUGAAGAGAUUUAUGAUUUUUAUGUGUUAUUCAAGUUUCAGAUUCAAUUUUAAACUUUUGAUACAUGCAUUGAAAGCUUAAACUCCUUUAAGAAAUUAUUAAUAGACACAUGUUUUAUUAGUGUCAUCUUUUGGAUGAUAGUGAGGAUCUUAUGUCUAUUAAUAAUUCUUGAAUUAUCUAGGCUUGGACAGUUUGGUAAUGCAUAGAUUUCUAUGGUAGCUAGUGCCUGAAAUUUUUUUCCCACGUAAAAAUGGGUUUUUCAGCAGCUGCUCCUCAUGUUCUCUGGGUGCAUACUAGACAAAUGGGUGUCAUGUAUUGUUUUGGCAUAACACAUAAACACUCAUAUAUCUAUGUCGUGUACUUGAAGAACUAUAGGGAGAUGCUUCCGAAGUUUCUAUAAACGUAGAGGAAAACUUUAGAUACUUAAGAUUGAAGAAACUUAUGCAUUCUUGAGUGGGAUAUAUAGGACCACUUACCUUUUGUAAAUAUGAAGGGAAUGUUGGAUAUAUUGGAGGAGCUGAGUGGGAUGAAUGUAAUCGGUUAUGAUUUUGCUGAGUCGACUUGGUUUUGAGUCUUGUAAUUUUUUUUAUAAAUGGAGUACUAUCUCCAAUGUUGGUUUAUAAAUAUGUUUCAGCUGGCUGACCUAAUUUUUUGUUUCUAGGUAACAGGCUUUAUAUAUCUGUAAUUGAUAGCCAAGUGAAGUUCUCAGCUGUGGGUGAGGAUAUUUCUUUACAGAAGGUAUUGCAAACUGUUUUUUAGAUUAAUUAUUAUUGUAUAUAUACUUUAAUUUUCACAUCUUUUUCUCUGAUUCUUGUGGCUUUGCUUGCUUCCAUAUAUAUAAAACCAUAAAAUUGUAUAA
rnacentral:lncRNA from 1 species